UACGUAGGGUGCAAGCGUUGUCCGGAAUUAUUGGGCGUAAAGAGCUCGUAGGCGGUCUGUCGCGUCGGAUGUGAAAGCCCGGGGCUUAACCCCGGGUCUGCAUUCGAUACGGGCAGACUAGAGUGUGGUAGGGGAGAUCGGAAUUCCUGGUGUAGCGGUGAAAUGCGCAGAUAUCAGGAGGAACACCGGUGGCGAAGGCGGAUCUCUGGGCCAAUACUGACGCUGAGGAGCGAAAGCGUGGGGAGCGAACAGG
rnacentral:rRNA from 1 species